AGCGAACGCUGGCGGCAGGCCUAACACAUGCAAGUCGAACGAACCUUUCGGGGUUAGUGGCGGACGGGUGAGUAACACGUGGGAACGUGCCUUUAGGUUCGGAAUAACUCAGGGAAACUUGUGCUAAUACCGAAUGUGCCCUUCGGGGGAAAGAUUUAUCGCCUUUAGAGCGGCCCGCGUCUGAUUAGCUAGUUGGUUGAGGUAAUGGCUCACCAAGGCGACGAUCAGUAGCUGGUCUGAGAGGAUGAUCAGCCACAUUGGGACUGAGACACGGCCCAAACUCCUACGGGAGGCAGCAGUGGGGAAUCUUGCGCAAUGGGCGAAAGCCUGACGCAGCCAUGCCGCGUGAAUGAUGAAAGUCUUAGGAUUGUAAAAUUCUUUCACCGGGGACGAUAAUGACGGUACCCAGAGAAGAAGCCCCGGCUAACUUCGUG
rnacentral:rRNA from 1 species